rnacentral:rRNA from 1 species
AACGCUAGCUACAGGCUUAACACAUGCAAGUCGAGGGGCAUCAGGGUAGCAAUACCGCUGGCGACCGGCGCACGGGUGAGUAACACGUAUCCAACCUACCGUUAACUCGGGGAUAGCCUUUCGAAAGAAAGAUUAAUACCCGAUAGUAUAUUUUCUUCGCAUGUUGAAAAUAUUAAAGAAUUUCGGUUAUCGAUGGGGAUGCGUUCCAUUAGGCAGUUGGCGGGGUAACGGCCCACCAAACCUACGAUGGAUAGGGGUUCUGAGAGGAAGGUCCCCCACAUUGGAACUGAGACACGGUCCAAACUCCUACGGGAGGCAGCAGUGAGGAAUAUUGGUCAAUGGACGAAGGUCUGAACCAGCCAAGUAGCGUGAAGGAUGACUGCCCUAUGGGUUGUAAACUUCUUUUAUAUGGGAAUAAAGUUCUCCACGUGUGGAGUUUUGUAUGUACCAUUAUGAAUAAGCAUCGGCUAACUCCGUGCCAGCAGCCGCGGUAAUACGGAGGAUGCGAGCGUUAUCCGGAUUUAUUGGGUUUAAAGGGAGCGUAGGUGGACUGGUAAGACAGUUGUGAAAGUUUGCGGCUCAACCGUAAAAUUGCAGUUGAUACUGUCAGUCUUGAGUACAGUAGAGGUGGGCGGAAUUCGUGGUGUAGCGGUGAAAUGCUUAGAUAUCACGAAGAACUCCGAUUG